AUUGAACGCUGGUGGCAGGCCUAACACAUGCAAGUCGAACGAGUGGCGGACGGGUGAGUAAUGUCUGGGAAACUGCCCGAUGGAUGGGGAUAACUACUGGAAACGGUAGCUAAUAACGCAUACCAUCGGAUGUGCCCAGAUGGGAUUAGCUAGUAGGUGGGGUAACGGCUCACCUGGGCGACGAUCCCGUGCUGGUCUGAGAGGAUGACUAGCCACGUGGGAACUUAGACACUGUCCAGCCUCCUACGGGAGGCAGCAGUGGGAGAUAUUGCACAAUGGGCGCAAGCCUGAUGCGGCCAUGCCGGGUGUAUGAAGAAGGCCUUCGGGUUGUAAGGUACUUUCAGCGAGGAGGCGUUACUCGCAGAAGAAGCACCGGCUAACUCCGUGCCAGCAGCCGCGGUAAUAC
rnacentral:rRNA from 1 species